UGUCUCAAAGAUUAAGCCAUGCAUGUCUAAGUAUAAACCUUUAUACGGUGAAACUGCGAAUGGCUCAUUAUAUCAGUUAUAGUUUAUUUGAUAGUCCCUGCUACUUGGAUACCCGUAGUAAUUCUAGAGCUAAUACAUGCGUAAAAGCGCAGGCUUUUGUCUGUGCUGUAUUUAUUAGAUUUGAACCAACCUCUUCGGAGUUUUUUGGUGAAUCAUGAUAACUUUGCGAAUCGUAUGCUUCGGCGACGAUGAAUCAUUCAAGUUUCUGCCCUAUCAAGUGGCGAUGGUAGGGUAUUGGCCUACCAUGCUUUUGACGGGUAACGGAGAAUUAGGGUUCGAUUCCGGAGAGGGAGCCUGAGAGACGGCUACCACAUCUAAGGAAGGCAGCAGGCGCGUAAAUUACCCAAUCCUGACACGGGGAGGUAGUGACAAUAAAUAACAAUACGGGGCCUUUUGGCACUGUAAUUGGAAUGAGAACAAUUUAAAUCCCUUUACGAGGAUCAAUUGGAGGGCAAGUCUGGUGCCAGCAGCCGCGGUAAUUCCAGCUCCAAUAGCGUAUAUUAAAGUUGUUGCAGUUAAAAAGCUCGUAGUUGGAUUUCUUGUGCAUGAAGCGGGUCGGCUCAAAGAGUCUGUACUAGCUUUCAUGCACAAUCCUCGUAACAAGCUGUCGGUGAGUUAACUCCAUUCGGCAGUGAGUUGCGUCAUUUACUGUGAACAAAUUAGAGUGUUUAAAGCAGGCAAAUGCUGUGAAUACAUUAGCAUGGAAUAAUAAGAUAGGACCUAGAGUCUAUUUUGUUGGUUGCGAUUUUAGGUAAUGAUUAAUAGGGAUAGUUGGGGGUAUUCAUAUUCAAUUGUCAGAGGUGAAAUUCUUGGAUUUAUGGAAGAUGAACNACUGCGAAAGCAUUUACCAAGGAUGUUUUCAUUAAUCAAGAACGAAAGUUAGGGGAUCGAAGAUGAUUAGAUACCAUCGUAGUCUUAACCAUAAACUAUGCCGACUAGGGAUUGGACCACGCUAUUUAAUGGCAGGUUCAGCACCUUAUGAGAAAUCAAAGUCUUUGGGUUCCGGGGGGAGUAUGGUCGCAAGGCUGAAACUUAAAGGAAUUGACGGAAG
rnacentral:rRNA from 1 species